rnacentral:rRNA from 1 species
CACGAACGCUGGCGGCAGGCUUAACACAUGCAAGUCGAGCGCCCCGCAAGGGGAGCGGCAGACGGGUGAGUAACGCGUGGGAAUCUACCCAUCUCCACGGAUUAACGCAUGGAAACGUGUGCUAAUACUGCAUACGUCCUCCGGGAGAAGGAUUUAUCGGAGAUGGUGGAGCCCGCGUUGGUUUAGCAAGUGGGUGGGGUAAAGGCCAACAAAGGCGACGAUCCAUAGUUGGUCUGAGAGGAUGAUCAGCCACACUGGGACUGAGACACGGCCCAGACUCCUACGGGAGGCAGCAGUGGGGAAUAUUGGACAAUGGGCGCAAGCCUGAUCCAGCCAUGCCGCGUGAGUGAUGAAGGCCCUAGGGUUGUAAAGCUCUUUCACCGGUGAAGAUAAUGACGGUAACCGGAGAAGAAGCCCCGGCUAACUUCGUGCCAGCCGCCGCCGUAACAC